CAGAUCAGAAGGUGAUUGUGGCUUUGGUUUGAUAUGAAACAGCCACAGCACUGCCUGGUCAGA
rnacentral:pre_miRNA from 1 species